GAUAGUGUGGCCGAGUGGUUUAUGGCGCUGGUCUUAAGCAACAGUCUCUUCGGAUGCAAGGGUUCGAACCCCUUCACUGUCA
rnacentral:tRNA from 1 species